rnacentral:misc_RNA from 1 species
GAUGAAGAACGUAGUGAAAUGCGAUAAGUAAUGUGAAUUGCAGAAUUCAGUGAAUCAUCGAAUCUUUGAACGCAUAUUGCGCCCUCUGGUAUUCCGGGGGGCAUGCCUGUUCGAGCGUCAUUACAACCCUCAAGCUUUGCUUGGUAUUGGACAUUGCCAGUUUCUGGCAGGUCUUAAAAUCAGUGGCGGUGCCAUUUGGCUUCAAGCGUAGUAAUUCUUCUCGCUUUGGAGAUCCAAGUGGUUACUUGCCAAUAACCCCCAAUUUUUUCAGGUUGACCUCGGAUCAGGUAGGGAUACCCGCUGAACUUAAGCAUAUCAAUAAGCGGAGGA